GACGAACGCUGGCGGCGUGCCUAAUACAUGCAAGUUGAGCGCUGAAGGUUGGUACUUGUACCAACUGGAUGAGCAGCGAACGGGUGAGUAACGCGUGGGGAAUCUGCCUUUGAGCGGGGGACAACAUUUGGAAACGAAUGCUAAUACCGCAUAAAAACUUUAAACACAAGUUUUAAGUUUGAAAGAUGCAAUUGCAUCACUCAAAGAUGAUCCCGCGUUGUAUUAGCUAGUUGGUGAGGUAAAGGCUCACCAAGGCGAUGAUACAUAGCCGACCUGAGAGGGUGAUCGGCCACAUUGGGACUGAGACACGGCCCAAACUCCUACGGGAGGCAGCAGUAGGGAAUCUUCGGCAAUGGACGAAAGUCUGACCAAGCAACGCCGCGUGAGUGAAGAAGGUUUUCGGAUCGUAAAACUCUGUCGGUAGAGAAGAACGUUGGUGAGAGUGGAAAGCUCAUCAAGUGACGGUAACUACCCAGAAAGGGACGGCUAACUACGUG
rnacentral:rRNA from 1 species